AAUAUGAACUUUACAGGGACUAGACAGGAUUCAGGCUCCCACCCCAAAAAACAAGAAGAGAGCCUAUCAUUUGAAAACCGAAACAGAAAAAACUACCCACCGAACCCUUAAGAUAUUUUUUAAUGGCCCCCAACCCGGAUUUGUCAAGCACCAUUAACCCCCUAAUCUCAACGGGGAGAUCGGACAAAACCCAAUAGACAGCAUUCCGCUGCGAGCUGCUCCCAAUGCGAGCCAGGCCAUUAGCAGGGCCGUUAAUCUCCCUCGGGAUAUGGCGAAAAGAGAAAGAUCCCUGAUUUUUAAGCGCCUCAUUCUCUUGAUCCAGUGUUUCCGGGCCCAGCUUGAAUUCAAGCUACCACAAUGGAGGUCGAUAACAAAUUUGGAAUCAGAUUCCACCUCAAUUCUAGACAGACCCGGGCUGAGACACAUGAAGAGGCCGUUCCAAACCGAGCGAAGUUCUGCCCUGUUUCUGGACCCUUUGCCGAAUCCCACCGGAAAUGCAAACAAGAGAUUGCCUUCAGCAUUUCUGCAAAUUCCUCCACCACCCGAAGGCCCUGGGUUCCCACAAGCGGACCCAUCCAGAUUCAGCUUAGCCCAACCCUCCAUCGACUUAACCCACCCGACGACCUCAAAACCGACACUCUGAGGCUGCUGUUGGUAUGAUGGGACUCAAUGGCUUAUGCACCAAAAGCCCUACAAAUAAAGAAGUCCUACGUAUAAAAAAAUUGAGCUUUUAUUGGUUGAAUGAAAGCUGUUUUUUUUUACUUAACUUUUUAAUUUUUAAUUUUUGGUUGUCCACAUUUCAAAGGUUUAGGGUCUUUUUCAAUCGAGGAGAUGUUCAUUGAUCAUAGACACUAGAGGCUGCAAUAUCAAUGGUUUGGAUCAAUGAAGAGCUGGCCCCACUAGUACAAACUGAAAGUGUUAGUAGAAACAUCUUCAUUUUAUUUUAUUUUGUUAAAUUCUUUAUUAGUUGCCAGAUAUGUGCCCCACCAAGAUGAAUAUGUACACCCUAGAAAUCAGGCCAUUCAAAAACUCAGAUAGAUGGGCCACACUACUAGAUUCUCAUAUAGACAAAUUGCUAGACAUGAAGAUUGAAUGGUUUUGGGCACGCGAUGCAUCCUGACUUGUACAGAAACUGGGAUUAGUGCUCGGAACUUUCAAUCUAAUGGGGCCCACCAUGGAUCUUGGACGCUCAUAAAAUAUUCCAGAGUCAGAAAUCAUAGCCACCCAAUUUGUAAUAUUUUAUUUUUUCUGGACUUUAGAUUUAUUUCUUCUGGGACCCUCUAUUUGUACCCCUCUUAUCAAAGGGUUAAAAUCUUCCAACUUGGGAAGUUUUUACAGCACACCCAAAGGUUUGUAUCACUUCACAAAAGGGCUUCUUCUAUAUAUUUUUUUUUUACAAUGGUUGCACUGAGUUGAUGGGUCAUUCCUUCCAAAGCUUUGGAGGCUGUGUCAUCUGUAGGUUGUUUGUCUGUCGGAUUCUCAGGGCUGUUUGGAGCUUCUAGCACUGCGAGGCAAUCUUGCAUGUGAGGCUGGGGGAUUGGGUGAGCCAAUAUGGUUUUAUGUAGUUUCAGUUUUUCUGCUGUCUUUGGUGUAUCUUUGUGCAAAUUGCUCCAUCUCUUUUCUCCCUUUCCCAUCUGGGUCUAUUUGUAGGGUGGCCCAUCUGGCUGUCAUUAUAGUGGCUUUUUUUUUUUUUUUUUUUUUGGGCUCUUCGAAAAUAUGUAUUCAGCUAACUGUUUUAUCAACAAAGUUACAAGUAUAAUGCUUUCACUA